UCAGCGGCGGACGGGUGAGUAAUGCCUAGGAAUCUGCCCGAUAGUGGGGGACAACGUUUCGAAAGGAGCGCUAAUACCGCAUACGUCCUACGGGAGAAAGUGGGGGAUCUUCGGACCUCACGCUAUCGGAUGAGCCUAGGUCGGAUUAGCUAGUUGGUGAGGUAAUGGCUCACCAAGGCGACGAUCCGUAACUGGUCUGAGAGGAUGAUCAGUCACACUGGAACUGAGACACGGUCCAGACUCCUACGGGAGGCAGCAGUGGGGAAUAUUGGACAAUGGGCGAAAGCCUGAUCCAGCCAUGCCGCGUGUGUGAAGAAGGUCUUCGGAUUGUAAAGCACUUUAAGUUGGGAGGAAGGGCUGUCGGCUAAUACCCUGCAGUUUUGACGUUACCAACAGAAUAAGCACCGGCUAACUUCGUGCCAGCAGCCGCGGUAAUACGAAGGGUGCAAGCGUUAAUCGGAAUUACUGGGCGUAAAGCGCGCGUAGGUGGUUCAGCAAGUUGGAUGUGAAAGCCCCGGGCUCAACCUGGGAACUGCAUCCAAAACUACUGAGCUAGAGUACGGUAGAGGGUGGUGGAAUUUCCUGUGUAGCGGUGAAAUGCGUAGAUAUAGGAAGGAACACCAGUGGCGAAGGCGACCACCUGGACUGAUACUGACACUGAGGUGCGAAAGCGUGGGGAGCAAACAGGAUUAGAUACCCUGGUAGUCCACGCCGUAAACGAUGUCAACUAGCUGUUGGGUUCCUUGAGAACUUAGUAGCGAAGCUAACGCGAUAAGUUGACCGCCUGGGGGAGUACGGCCGCAAGGUUAAAACUCAAAUGAAAUUGACGGGGGCCCGCACA
rnacentral:rRNA from 1 species